rnacentral:rRNA from 1 species
UACGAAGGGGGCUAGCGUUGCUCGGAAUUACUGGGCGUAAAGGGCGCGUAGGCGGAUCGUUAAGUCAGGGGUGAAAUCCCGGGGCUCAACCUCGGAACUGCCCUUGAUACUGGCGAUCUUGAGUAUGAGAGAGGUAUGUGGAACUCCGAGUGUAGAGGUGAAAUUCGUAGAUAUUCGGAAGAACACCAGUGGCGAAGGCGACAUACUAGCUCAUUACUGACGCUGAGGCGCGAAAGCGUGGGGAGCAAACAGG